AUUGAACGCUGGCGGCAGGCCUAACACAUGCAAGUCGAACGAGUGGCGGACGGGUGAGUAAUGUCUGGGAAACUGCCCGAUGGAGGGGGAUCACUACUGGAAACGGUAGCUAAUACCGCAUACCAUCGGAUGUGCCCAGCUGGGAGUAGCUAGUAGGUGGGGUAACGGCUCACCUGGGCGACGAUCCCUAGCUGGUCCGAGAGGAUGACCGCCCACUCGGGGACGGAGACACGGCCCAGACUCCUACGGGAGGCAGCAGGGGGGAAUAUUGCACAAUGGGCGCAAGCCGGAGGCAGCCAUGCCGCGUGUAUGAAGAAGGCCCUAGGGUUGUAAAGUACGUUCAGUCGGGAGGCGUUACCGACAGAAGAAGCACCGGCUAACUCCGUGCCAGCAGCCGCGGUAAUAC
rnacentral:rRNA from 1 species